rnacentral:rRNA from 1 species
UACGUAGGCAGCGAGCGUUGUUCGGAAUUACUGGGCGUAAAGAGCGUGUAGGCGGCUUGGUAAGUCCGCUGUGAAAGUCCAGGGCUCAACCCUGGAAAGCCGGUGGAAACUGUCAAGCUUGAGUCCGGAAGAGGCGAGUGGAAUUCCGGGUGGAGUGGUGAAAUGCGUAGAGAUCCGGAGGAACACCGAAGGCGAAGGCAGUGUCCUGGCGAGUAUCCUGACGCUGAGGUGCGAAAGCCAGGGGAGCGAACGGG